UUUCGGUUCGGAAUAACGUCUGGAAACGGACGCUAACACCGGAUACGUCCCCCAAGCGAUUGGGUGGAGAAAGUUUACGCCGAGAGAGGGGCCCGCGUCCGAUUAGGUAGUUGGUGAGGUAACGGCUCACCAAGCCGACGAUCGGUAGCUGGUCUGAGAGGAUGAUCAGCCACACUGGGACUGAGACACGGCCCAGACUCCUACGGGAGGCAGCAGUGGGGAAUAUUGGACAAUGGGCGCAAGCCUGAUCCAGCAAUGCCGCGUGAGUGAUGAAGGCCUUAGGGUUGUAAAGCUCUUUCGCACGUGACGAUGAUGACGGUAACGUGAGAAGAAGCCCCGGCUAACUUCGUGCUUUUCUGCCGCGGUAAUACGAAGGGGGCUAGCGUUGUUCGGAAUUACUGGGCGUAAAGGGCGCGUAGGCGGUCUUGUCAGUCGGAAGUGAAAGCCCCGGGCUCAACCUGGGAAUUGCUUUCGAUACUGCAAGACUUGAGUUCCGGAGAGGAUGGUGGAAUUCCCAGUGUAGAGGUGAAAUUCGUAGAUAUUGGGAAGAACACCGGUGG
rnacentral:rRNA from 1 species